CCUAACAUGCGACACUCCUGCCUAGACCGAGCUAACACGAAGUGCCGUCGGAUUUCAUCCGAUUUAACCACUUAACAGGAUCGAGUUUAGCAAACCCACACGAAGGUGAGUGGUUACAGAGAAUACAACAAGUCCACUGAGUUAAACAAGUUUUACCCAUUUAGUUUGGCCAUAAAAUCCAACAUCAGAGUUUUACAAGAUUUCAAGAAAACAACAGGGAAACACUAGCGGAAGACUUCGUCGGGGUCGGAUGUCCGGGCGAGGCCAGCCAGAACAUCACUGAGUCCUCUCCUCGCCGUCCGAGGAGGGGUCCCACUCGACCGUCCAGCCUGGCGGGAGCUGGGGCGGCCAAGCACCAACCAGAGAGGGGUCGGACGCAGCAACUUCACCUGAAAACAGAAGCCACAACAAGGCUGAGCUACUAAGCUCAACAAGACUUAACCGAUAGGAGUAAGGGCUACUCCUCCUCCUAGACAUGCAAGCUGUUUGGCUGAGGGGUUUGUUUGCCAAAAGCACUAAGUAACCCUAUUUCAGUUUUUAGCUCCGGUUCUAUGUUCAUUUACAAGUCUAGGUUGUGCAACCUAUUCUAAGCAGUCAUAGAGCCAAACAAGAUGUGAAGAUAUAACAACAAACAUUGCCAUCAUCAGAUUCCUCAUUUACUCAGGGUGACAUAGCGAUCAAGCAAUCUCAAACUGUGAGAGGCAGACGAAUCGAUUCGAGUUCUUUAACCAUGCAUUGUGAACCUAGCCUCAUAACAUCCGCGCACCCGGAGGUCGCUUCCUGUGUCGGCCUUCCCCAUCAAUCCCCUAACCCGUGUCGGGCCCAUUUCCUUUGGUGCAAGGUUCCACAGACCCAGCCUCUGCCGUUCUGUGACCACACAUUGCCACCACGUGCGACAACCAGCAGGGGAAACUCCGUUCCAAGAACAAUGGGGCGACCGCUCACGUCUAGGUUCAAUCCGGUACUAAGCUUCCUCAUCCCAUACUAAGUAUGAGGCUAGUACUUUCAAACACUUGAUCACGAACACCACCACUGUCGGGCCUUAGCAAGAUUUCAUAGACAGACGGGGCGACCAUCCGACCACCAAAGAGUUACCCAAAACCCUGCCCCGUCCAUCGUCCUUAUAGUUAUAACAGGAGAGUAAAC
rnacentral:lncRNA from 1 species